CACGGUUUCAACUCUGGAUAGUAGCCAGGAUAAAUAUCAAUUUUAUGACGUCUACGGGAUCCUUCUAUUUGCUUUGGCAAUAUUAUCAUCGUUGGUGCCUGCUGCGGUCAGAUUGGAAAAAGAAAAAAAAAAAUCCUCGACGAGGAUGGGAUUCGAACCCACGCGUGCAGAGCACAUUGGAUUAGCAGUCCAACGCCUUAACCACUCGGCCACCUCGUCUAGUUGACGAUAUUCGUUCCAAUAUUGACAACAUAUUGUUCGAUACUAUUUUUUAUCUCGUAUCAUUUAAAUUUUUUCUAUCACGACGAUUUGACAUUGUUAUUUAUUUCUACGAGAAAAAAAAAAAAAGGAAAUAUAUAUCUUGACGAAUAAUCUCGAAGAAGUGAACAUCGAACGUUCUAAUAAUAUCUACAAUUAUUUAUGUAACGAAACAAAUAAACCAAAUCGUAUGAGUAAAGUCAGUAAACAAGUAAGGAAACAAGUAUGUAAUUUCGUUACGUACGAUUGAAAACGAAAAUAAAAAUAAAAAGAAAGAAAAAAAAAAAAAAAUGAAAAUGUAAGAAGGAAAAGAAGAAAAACGUGAAAAAAAAGAAGGGAGAAGAAGAGAAAAAUAGAAAGGGGAAAAAAAAAAAGGUAGGAACGCAUCGCACGCUCUAGGGAAUUUAAUUUACGGAGGGACACGUCACCGUCGGCGAGAACAAAACCAUUACUUUUUUUCAAUUAUCUCACAUUUUGCUCGCGAAAGCUUACGCCGACGCCGCCGUGCCGGGCAACAUGAAACUUCAACGUAUUGUUCUCAGCGUCAUCGUUUUUAUAUCUUUUCACUAACUUCCUCUCUCUCUCUCUCUCUCUCUCUCUAGCUCGUAUUUACAGCUCGACAAUUUCUUUCUUUCUUCCUUAUUUUUUGUUUCUAUUUUUUUUUUGUCAAGAGAAAUAAGGGGUGGGGAUGGUGAUGCUGGAGAGAGAGAGAGAGAGAGAAAGUGAGAGGGAGAGAGGAGAGUUAGAGACAGGAGCGACAACAGCGCUAGAUUUUUCUCUUCAGUGUGUUUCACGUUUUGACAAACAACCACCACGUGAUUCUGGUAUUUCAAUGGUGGGAAAAAGUGAGGAGAAAAGAGAGAGAAAAGAAUUUCUACUCUUGAGUGAUCCCAGAAUUUUUUUUUUCCCCCAUGAGAAUUAUUUGCAUAUAGUAACAUAUUUCUCUUUAUGGCGAGAAAAAAUUCGUCAAUGGUAUGUCUUUUUUUCGUUCUUCUUCUUCUUCUUCUUUUUUUUUUUUUUUUUAUUUUUGUUGUUGUUUCUUUCCUUUUUGCCGAGAGAAAGCAAAAAAAUUUCUCGUCGAAUAUUAAAUUUUCUCGAAUAAUUUAUGAGUUUACGUUUGAGUGCCAACAUGGUAAACAAUUUUGAAAAUCCCUAUUUUAGGAUGUUGCGUUCUGUUUCGUCUUAAUUCGUUCGUAUAAUAACUCAAUUAAGGAAGAAGAUUAUCAAGUAACCUACCAACCGACCAACCAACCAACCAACCAACCAAUCGACCGUCCAACCAACCUAAGAAGACCCAUCAUCUACCAUUGCCGAAACACGUGUCAUGAAAAUUUAUUACCAAACUUUUUCUGCUCAUAAAUAUUGCUUAACCAUUUAAUGAAUGCGAAUUAGAAAGAAUACGUAAGAGAUGUAGGUAACGGGGAGAGAGAGAGAGAGAGAGAGAGAGAGAGAGAGAGAGGGAGAAAAUAAGAAAGAAAAAAUAAAAACUUUAAAAAUAACCAAUCGGAUAGUCGUUCAUGAAUAAUUAUUCUCCAGAAGGAUUCGUUUCUUAUUUUUUUUUUCUUUUUUUUUUCGCUCGAUUUAUUUCUCUUAAAAAUACUUUCCACAAGGAGGACGAAGUGGCGGGGGCGAGUGGAAGAGAGGAAAUUAGAUUCGUAACAACACGAAAUGUCAAACAGAUUAGGAUCAAUUUAUUCGAGGUUUUACAAAAAGAAAAAACGAAAGAAAGAAAGAGAAAAAAAAAGAAAGGUAUUAUCAGCAUCAAACACGUCGAAACAUUCCCUAUUGCAACUAUUAAAUGCUGCAUACUUUUUUUUUUAAUCACUAACACAUCCCCUCCCUUCCUGUCGCUCAUUGCACGCACCCACUUCCCCGAUGGGCCUGUGAAUUUUGUCGUCUUUAUCGAGAUCAUCGAGACGAUAUAAAACGCAAGGAGAAUAAUAGGGGCCACGAGAGAAAAAAAGAAAAAAAAAAAAAAAAAAAAAAAAAAAAAGAAAAUGUGAAGAUUCUCGUGAUAAGGAGAA